GACGAACGCUGGCGGCGUGCCUAAUACAUGCAAGUAGAACGCUGAAACUUGGUGCUUGCACCGAGCGGAUGAGUUGCGAACGGGUGAGUAACGCGUAGGUAACCUGCCUGGUAGCGGGGGAUAACUAUUGGAAACGAUAGCUAAUACCGCAUAAGAGUAGAUGUUGCAUGACAUUUGCUUAAAAGGUGCAAUUGCACCACUACCAGAUGGACCUGCGUUGUAUUAGCUAGUUGGUGGGGUAACGGCUCACCAAGGCGACGAUACAUAGCCGACCUGAGAGGGUGAUCGGCCACACUGGGACUGAGACACGGCCCAGACUCCUACGGGAGGCAGCAGUAGGGAAUCUUCGGCAAUGGACGGAAGUCUGACCGAGCAACGCCGCGUGAGUGAAGAAGGUUUUCGGAUCGUAAAGCUCUGUUGUAAGAGAAGAACGAGUGUGAGAGUGGAAAGUUCACAAUGUGACGGUAUCUUACCAGAAAGGGACGGCUAACUACGUG
rnacentral:rRNA from 1 species